rnacentral:rRNA from 1 species
AGACCCGAAACCCGGUGAUCUAGCCAUGGGCAGGUUGAAGGUUGGGUAACACUAACUGGAGGACCGAACCGACUAAUGUUGAAAAAUUAGCGGAUGACCUGUGGCUGGGGGUGAAAGGCCAAUCAAACCGGGAGAUAGCUGGUUCUCCCCGAAAGCUAUUUAGGUAGCGCCUCGUGAAUUCAUCUCCGGGGGUAGAGCACUGUUUCGGCUAGGGGGCCAUCCCGGCUUACCAACCCGAUGCAAACUGCGAAUACCGGAGAAUGUUAUCACGGGAGACACACGGCGGGUGCUAACGUCCGUCGUGAAGAGGGAAACAACCCAGACCGCCAGCUAAGGUCCCAAAGUCAUGGUUAAGUGGGAAACGAUGUGGGAAGGCCCAGACAGCCAGGAUGUUGGCUUAGAAGCAGCCAUCAUUUAAAGAAAGCGUAAUAGCUCACUGGUCGAGUCGGCCUGCGCGGAAGAUGUAACGGGGCUAAACCAUGCACCGAAGCUGCGGCAGCGACACUGUGUGUUGUUGGGUAGGGGAGCGUUCUGUAAGCCUGUGAAGGUGUGUCGUGAGGCAUGCUGGAGGUAUCAGAAGUGCGAAUGCUGACAUAAGUAACGAUAAAGCGGGUGAAAAGCCCGCUCGCCGGAAGACCAAGGGUUCCUGUCCAACGUUAAUCGGGGCAGGGUGAGUCGACCCCUAAGGCGAGGCCGAAAGGCGUAGUCGAUGGGAAACGGGUUAAUAUUCCCGUACUUGGUGUUACUGCGAAGGGGGGACGGAGAAGGCUAUGUUGGCCGGGCGACGGUUGUCCCGGUUUAAGCGUGUAGGUGUGUGUUCCAGGUAAAUCCGGUUCACUUUAACACUGAGGCGUGACGACGAGGCACUACGGUGCUGAAGCAACAAAUGCCCUGCUUCCAGGAAAAGCCUCUAAGCAUCAGGUAACAUCAAAUCGUACCCCAAACCGACACAGGUGGUCAGGUAGAGAAUACCAAGGCGCUUGAGAGAACUCGGGUGAAGGAACUAGGCAAAAUGGUGCCGUAACUUCGGGAGAAGGCACGCUGACACGUAGGUGAAGUGAUUUACUCAUGGAGCUGAAGUCAGUCGAAGAUACCAGCUGGCUGCAACUGUUUAUUAAAAACACAGCACUGUGCAAACACGAAAGUGGACGUAUACGGUGUGACGCCUGCCCGGUGCCGGAAGGUUAAUUGAUGGGGUCAGCGCAAGCGAAGCUCCUGAUCGAAGCCCCGGUAAACGGCGGCCGUAACUAUAACGGUCCUAAGGUAGCGAAAUUCCUUGUCGGGUAAGUUCCGACCUGCACGAAUGGCGUAAUGAUGGCCAGGCUGUCUCCACCCGAGACUCAGUGAAAUUGAACUCGCUGUGAAGAUGCAGUGUACCCGCGGCAAGACGGAAAGACCCCGUGAACCUUUACUAUAGCUUGACACUGAACAUUGAGCCUUGAUGUGUAGGAUAGGUGGGAGGCUUUGAAGUGUGGACGCCAGUCUGCAUGGAGCCGACCUUGAAAUACCACCCUUUAAUGUUUGAUGUUCUAACGUGGACCCGUGAUCCGGGUUGCGGACAGUGUCUGGUGGGUAGUUUGACUGGGGCGGUCUCCUCCUAAAGAGUAACGGAGGAGCACGAAGGUUGGCUAAUCCUGGUCGGACAUCAGGAGGUUAGUGCAAUGGCAUAAGCCAGCUUGACUGCGAGCGUGACGGCGCGAGCAGGUGCGAAAGCAGGUCAUAGUGAUCCGGUGGUUCUGAAUGGAAGGGCCAUCGCUCAACGGAUAAAAGGUACUCCGGGGAUAACAGGCUGAUACCGCCCAAGAGUUCAUAUCGACGGCGGUGUUUGGCACCUCGAUGUCGGCUCAUCACAUCCUGGGGCUGAAGUAGGUCCCAAGGGUAUGGCUGUUCGCCAUUUAAAGUGGUACGCGAGCUGGGUUUAGAACGUCGUGAGACAGUUCGGUCCCUAUCUGCCGUGGGCGCUGGAGAACUGAGGGGGGCUGCUCCUAGUACGAGAGGACCGGAGUGGACGCAUCACUGGUGUUCGGGUUGUCAUGCCAAUGGCACUGCCCGGUAGCUAAAUGCGGAAGAGAUAAGUGCUGAAAGCAUCUAAGCACGAAACUUGCCCCGAGAUGAGUUCUCCCUGAGACUUAAAGUCUCCUGAAGGAACGUUGAAGACGACGACGUUGAUAGGCCGGGUGUGUAAGCGCAGCGAUGCGUUGAGCUAACCGGUACUAAUGAACCGUGAGGCUUAACCUUACAACGCCGAAG